AUGUGGAAAAUGCCGCUGCACGCACUUUUCAUUUUAUUUUCCGAUAUGUUGUUUUUGUUGGUGUUGCAGUUGUUGUUGUUUGUCACUUUCGAGUUUUUACCCUUUGCAUUUGUGGGUAUUUUUAGAGAGCGAGAGAGAGACAGGGGGAGUGACAAAGAUGGGCGAGUGUUUUGCCCAAAAAAUAAGCAGGACGGUAAGCAAGUUGAUUAGUCACGUCCAAGGAAUGCCGAAAAUAAAAGAUGCUCAGCACCCAAAAGGUAAACAGACAAACUGAAGGAUGGACGGACGGACGGACAAACAGAGACA